rfam:Myotis lucifugus cont2.3102, whole genome shotgun sequence.
GGUGGUUCUCAGGUGAUGCACCCCAGAAUUGGGCUCCUUCCUCUCUGGUUCCAGGGUGCGUCACCCAAGAGCCACU